GGUAGCGUGGCCGAGCGGUCUAAGCGCUGGUUUAAGGCUCCAGAGGCGUGGGUUCGAAUCCCACCGCUGCCA